rnacentral:pre_miRNA from 1 species
CUUAUACUCCCUCCAUCUGGAAAUACUCGUCGGAGAAUGGAUGUAUCUAGAUGUAUUUUAGUUUUAGGUAUAUUCAUUUUUAUGCAUUUCUCCGACAAGUAUUUUCGGACGGAUGGGGUAUUUA